UACAGAGGGGGCAAGCGUUAUUCGGAAUUAUUGGGCGUAAAGGGCGCGUAGGCGGCCUGGCAAGUGGAAGGUGAAAUCCCUCGGCUUAACCGAGGAACUACCCUCCAAACUGCUUGGCUUGAGUCCGGGAGAGGUGAGUGGAAUUCCCAGUGUAGCGGUGAAAUGCGUAGAUAUCAGGAGGAACACCGGUGGUGUAGACGGCUCUCUGGACCGUAACUGACGCUGAGACACGAAAGCGUGGGUAGCAAACAGG
rnacentral:rRNA from 1 species